rnacentral:misc_RNA from 1 species
UGCCAAGGCGAAAUUAAUCUGUGUGAACUUGGAAUUGUUCGGAAAAUUUGUAAUACAAUCAUCAUUCUUUCUAAAAUCUACUAAUUUGCUAAUUUCUUAUGAACGGAUUUCAGCUGUAGUCGCUGUCCCUCCUUUUUUUGCUCGACGCGUGCGCUUUGUAUUGUAGAGUAACGGUUUACCGCUUUGUGUAAUUUUUGCUACGGUUUCCCGGGGACGCGAUCGAAAUUCCGGAAAAGUUGGCUUCUUCGCUUCUUGUCAAAUAUGGCUGAAGAAUUAAGUGAAAAUGGUACGAAUUCGGAAUACGGUGAUCGGGUGAAGCAGGAGUUCUUCGAGAUUUACAAAGAGAUUGGUGAAAAAGUGAGUGAAGAGACUUUUUCCGAGUUCUCGGACAUUUUGAAGAGUGAAGAGGUUGUUGUCAAGAUGGGUGAGGCGGUGGUGAUGUUUAAAACGCUACUGGUUAGCAAUCUUUGCAGAGGCUUGUCGCGGAUGUGGACUACCCAGAAUAUUUCACAGAAUCUUGAAGUGCUUGAGAUCCUGAAAGACCGAUUCAAAGACAGCAAUGUGCCCCAAUGGCGACCUACGGGAUUCACUGCACGAGAACAAGUUCUUCCAUUGACGGUUAAGGUUCUUCGGAAACGUGCAGAUUACUUGGAAGAAAAACUUGAGCAACAGAAAAAAGUGCUGGAAGGUCUAAUGCCGCAAGUAGAGGAGGGUCGGAAAGGGAUUGAGGAACACUUGGCGAGACUGCAAAUGUUCUCGCUUCAUAUUGACCAGCGAAACGAAAAGAUGGAUGCUGCGGAGGAAGAGUUGACCCAGCAGUUAGUCAACUUUACAGAUAAACUCUGAUAGCCACAGCGAACGACACUCACUCAAAAUAAUAUUGGGACCUGAAUCCAUGCAACUCCAAUUCACACUUUUUUUUAAGUUUUAGGCUAGAAAUAUGCGAGUAAGGAUGGCAUUUACUCCUAUAAGUUGCGCCAUUAUUUACACCUUGCGGUCUUUCCAUUUGUACAGAGGCUUGUAGGGGAUGUCCAGAGGAUUUUUCCUGUGGAAUUGAUGGCGUGUUAUAUAUUAAGGAAGUGAGAUCUGCGAAAAUAAAAUCAAGAAACGAAGCAAUUUGCAAUAAUCAAGAGGCAAACAUUUUCCAUGGUAUCAAGAAAUUUACGAUUGCCGAAGUUUGCAGCUCUCAAUAUUAUUUUGAUUGAAUAAAUCUCUUCUUCUAUCAAGUCCAAAUGCCGGAAAAUCCGGAGUGAACUAGUGCAGUGGAAUGUGUACAUAAUCAUAAUCCCUAUAAUAAAACCUAUUUAACGCCGUAUUUCCAUUUGUCGGGUACCAAAAGUUGGUUGCUUUGCAAAUAUAUUGUUUUGUAGAAUGUGUAUACUAAUCAGUAACUCCGGAAGUUUUUGAAAGGACUAUUAAAAAAAAUGUGAUAACUGUUAUCUUAUUGGGUCGAUCUCUUAUAUAUAUCACUUGUAGAAGAAUUAUUUCGGAAUAACAAUAGGGACGAAAAAAUAAACCGAUAAUAUAUCCAAUUUUUUAUUCUCUUUCAUACGCACUGAAAAAAAGGUUAAGUUUUAAAAAAUUUUUUCUAUAAGUAAAAGCAUACAAUUUUUUUUUUCAAAAUAGGGGGUAAAUUAUAAACAAGAUUG